rnacentral:lncRNA from 1 species
AGGUUUUUGUAGUUUGACUAUACAUACACUUUGUCCGUAACCAUUCGGGUCCGUGCGGUGCUUGUUGACUGCUGUAGGUUCAUUGUAGGAAUAGAGUGUGCACUUAUAUAGAAUCUAUCUCCCUUGGUAGAUAGGGGCAUUAGUCUUAUGUGAUUUAUGAGACCGAGUUUAAAAGACCUUGGCAAGGACAGAAUUAAUAGCAGAAAAGAGUUUCUGAUAUUAUAAACUCGAGUCGAAUAAACUUGACAUAUGGCAGACCAUAGGGUUUGACGAAUUAUUCCAUAACCUCCGUCUAGUCGAGACUCAUGAUAGAAAGACUGUAUCACAUAGUAACUGCACCAAGAGGUUCAGUAUUCCAUUCUACUGGGAUGCCACUACAUGCUGCUAAGCGUCACUGGUGGAUUGUGAGAUUCAUGAGAAUUAUCUAGGUGAUCGAUAAUUUUCAUUGGACUGAGUUGGAAUUAUUCCGAUCUACUGAAAGAAGUUUCAGUGAUAUUAUUGAUAGUGAUCAAAAUAUAUCUCAUUACCAGAUAGAAUAGAACCUAUGGGGUCACACACAUAAGA